UACGUAGGUGGCAAGCGUUGUCCGGAUUUACUGGGCGUAAAGCGCACGCAGGCGGAUGGUUAAGUAAGAAGUGAAAGGUUGGAGCUCAACUCCAACACUGCUUCUUAUACUGGCCGUCUUGAGUUCCGGAGAGGAAAGCGGAACUGCACGUGUAGCGGUGAAAUGCGUUGAUAUGUGCAGGAACACCAAUGGCGAAGGCAGCUUUCUGGACGAGGACUGGCGCUCAUGUUCGAAAGCCAAGGGAGCGAACAGG
rnacentral:rRNA from 1 species